rnacentral:rRNA from 1 species
UACGAAGGGGGCUAGCGUUGUUCGGAAUUACUGGGCGUAAAGCGCGUGUAGGCGGGUCUUUAAGUCAGGGGUGAAAUGCCAAGGCUCAACCUUGGAACUGCCUUUGAUACUGGAGACCUUGAGUCCGGGAGAGGUGAGUGGAAUUGCGAGUGUAGAGGUGAAAUUCGUAGAUAUUCGCAAGAACACCAGUGGCGAAGGCGGCGAUCUGGGAAGAUACUGACGCUGAGGUGCGAAAGCGUGGGGGAGCAAACAGG